rnacentral:tRNA from 1 species
GGAGGGUAUGCUCAGUGGUAGAGUGUGUGCUUAGAAUGCACAAGGUCCUGGGAUCAAUCCCCAGCACCUCCA